ACUGUUUCGGCAAGGGGGUCAUCCCGACUUACCAACCCGAUGCAAACUGCGAAUACCGGAGAAUGUUAUCACGGGAGACACACGGCGGGUGCUAACGUCCGUCGUGAAGAGGGAAACAACCCAGACCGCCAGCUAAGGUCCCAAAGUCAUGGUUAAGUGGGAAACGAUGUGGGAAGGCCCAGACAGCCAGGAUGUUGGCUUAGAAGCAGCCAUCAUUUAAAGAAAGCGUAAUAGCUCACUGGUCGAGUCGGCCUGCGCGGAAGAUGUAACGGGGCUAAACCAUGCACCGAAGCUGCGGCAGCGACACUGUGUGUUGUUGGGUAGGGGAGCGUUCUGUAAGCCUGUGAAGGUGUGCUGUGAGGCAUGCUGGAGGUAUCAGAAGUGCGAAUGCUGACAUAAGUAACGAUAAAGCGGGUGAAAAGCCCGCUCGCCGGAAGACCAAGGGUUCCUGUCCAACGUUAAUCGGGGCAGGGUGAGUCGACCCCUAAGGCGAGGCCGAAAGGCGUAGUCGAUGGGAAACAGGUUAAUAUUCCUGUACUUGGUGUUACUGCGAAGGGGGGACGGAGAAGGCUAUGUUGGCCGGGCGACGGUUGUCCCGGUUUAAGCGUGUAGGCUGGUUUUCCAGGCAAAUCCGGAAAAUCAAGGCUGAGGCGUGAUGACGAGGCACUACGGUGCUGAAGCAACAAAUGCCCUGCUUCCAGGAAAAGCCUCUAAGCAUCAGGUAACAUCAAAUCGUACCCCAAACCGACACAGGUGGUCAGGUAGAGAAUACCAAGGCGCUUGAGAGAACUCGGGUGAAGGAACUAGGCAAAAUGGUGCCGUAACUUCGGGAGAAGGCACGCUGAUAUGUAGGUGAAGUCCCUCGCGGAUGGAGCUGAAAUCAGUCGAAGAUACCAGCUGGCUGCAACUGUUUAUUAAAAACACAGCACUGUGCAAACACGAAAGUGGACGUAUACGGUGUGACGCCUGCCCGGUGCCGGAAGGUUAAUUGAUGGGGUCAGCGCAAGCGAAGCUCUUGAUCGAAGCCCCGGUAAACGGCGGCCGUAACUAUAACGGUCCUAAGGUAGCGAAAUUCCUUGUCGGGUAAGUUCCGACCUGCACGAAUGGCGUAAUGAUGGCCAGGCUGUCUCCACCCGAGACUCAGUGAAAUUGAACUCGCUGUGAAGAUGCAGUGUACCCGCGGCAAGACGGAAAGACCCCGUGAACCUUUACUAUAGCUUGACACUGAACAUUGAGCCUUGAUGUGUAGGAUAGGUGGGAGGCUUUGAAGUGUGGACGCCAGUCUGCAUGGAGCCGACCUUGAAAUACCACCCUUUAAUGUUUGAUGUUCUAACGUGGACCCGUGAUCCGGGUUGCGGACAGUGUCUGGUGGGUAGUUUGACUGGGGCGGUCUCCUCCUAAAGAGUAACGGAGGAGCACGAAGGUUGGCUAAUCCUGGUCGGACAUCAGGAGGUUAGUGCAAUGGCAUAAGCCAGCUUGACUGCGAGCGUGACGGCGCGAGCAGGUGCGAAAGCAGGUCAUAGUGAUCCGGUGGUUCUGAAUGGAAGGGCCAUCGCUCAACGGAUAAAAGGUACUCCGGGGAUAACAGGCUGAUACCGCCCAAGAGUUCAUAUCGACGGCGGUGUUUGGCACCUCGAUGUCGGCUCAUCACAUCCUGGGGCUGAAGUAGGUCCCAAGGGUAUGGCUGUUCGCCAUUUAAAGUGGUACGCGAGCUGGGUUUAGAACGUCGUGAGACAGUUCGGUCCCUAUCUGCCGUGGGCGCUGGAGAACUGAGGGGGGCUGCUCCUAGUACGAGAGGACCGGAGUGGACGCAUCACUGGUGUUCGGGUUGUCAUGCCAAUGGCACUGCCCGGUAGCUAAAUGCGGAAGAGAUAAGUGCUGAAAGCAUCUAAGCACGAAACUUGCCCCGAGAUGAGUUCUCCCUGACCCUUUAAGGGUCCUGAAGGAACGUUGAAGACGACGACGUUGAUAGGCCGGGUGUGUAAGCGCAGCGAUGCGUUGAGCUAACCGGUACUAAUGAACCGUGAGGCUUAACCUUACAACGCCGAAGGUGUUU
rnacentral:rRNA from 1 species